rnacentral:rRNA from 1 species
UACGGAGGAUCCAAGCGUUAUCCGGAUUUAUUGGGUUUAAAGGGUGCGUAGGUGGCCUAUUAAGUCAGGGUGAAAGACGGUAGCUUAACUAUCGCAGUGCCUUUGAUACUGAUGGGCUUGAAUACAGUUGAAGUGGGCGGAAUGUGACAAGUAGCGGUGAAAUGCAUAGAUAUGUCACAGAACACCGAUUGCGAAGGCAGCUCACUAAAGUGUGAUUGACACUGAGGCACGAAAGCGUGGGGAUCAAACAGG